AGAGUUUGAUCCUGGCUCAGAACGAACGCUGGCGGCAGGCCUAACACAUGCAAGUCGAACGGAUCCUUCGGGAUUAGUGGCAGACGGGUGAGUAACGCGUGGGAAGCUACCUUGUGGUAGGGAACAACAGUUGGAAACGACUGCUAAUACCCUAUGAGCCCUAUGGGGGAAAGAUUUAUCGCCAUGAGAUGUGCCCGCGUUAGAUUAGCUAGUUGGUAAGGUAAUGGCUUACCAAGGCGACGAUCUAUAGCUGGUCUGAGAGGAUGAUCAGCCACACUGGGACUGAGACACGGCCCAGACUCCUACGGGAGGCAGCAGUGGGGAAUAUUGGACAAUGGGGGCAACCCUGAUCCAGCCAUGCCGCGUGAGUGAUGACGGCCUUAGGGUUGUAAAGCUCUUUCAGCAGUGAAGAUAAUGACAUUAACUGCAGAAGAAGCCCCGGCUAACUUCGUGCCAGCAGCCGCGGUAAUACGAAGGGGGCUAGCGUUGUUCGGAAUCACUGGGCGUAAAGCGUACGUAGGCGGACUGAUCAGUCAGGGGUGAAAUCCCGGGGCUCAACCCCGGAACUGCCUUUGAUACUGUCAGUCUUGAGAUCGAGAGAGGUGAGUGGAACUCCGAGUGUAGAGGUGAAAUUCGUAGAUAUUCGGAAGAACACCAGUGGCGAAGGCGGCUCACUGGCUCGAUACUGACGCUGAGGUAC
rnacentral:rRNA from 3 species